CCUACGGGAGGCAGCAGUGAGGAAUAUUGGUCAAUGGGCGGAAGCCUGAACCAGCCAAGUAGCGUGCAGGAUGACGGCCCUACGGGUUGUAAACUGCUUUUGUACGGGAAUAACGCGCCUUACGGGUAGGGCUUUGCAGGUACCGUAUGAAUAAGGGCCGGCUAAUUACGUGCCAGCAGCCGCGGUAAUACGGAAGGUCCGGGCGUUAUUCGGAUUUAUUGGGUUUAAAGGGUGUGUAGGAGGACUGUUAAGUCAGAGGUAAAAGCCCGGGGCUCAAGCCCGGCGAGCCGUUGAAACGGGCUGUCUUGAGAUGUCGAGAGGUAUGCGGAAUGCGCAGUGUAGCGGUGAAAUGCUUAGAUAUUGCGCAGAACCCCGAUUGCGAAGGCAGCAUACCGGCGGCGAUCUGACGCUGAGGCACGAAAGCGUGGGUAUCGAACAGGAUUAGAUACCCUAGUAGUC
rnacentral:rRNA from 1 species